ACUUUAACACUGAGGCGUGAUGACGAGGCACUACGGUGCUGAAGCAACAAAUGCCCUGCUUCCAGGAAAAGCCUCUAAGCCUCAGGUAACAUCAAAUCGUACCCCAAACCGACACAGGUGGUCAGGUAGAGAAUACCAAGGCGCUUGAGAGAACUCGGGUGAAGGAACUAGGCAAAAUGGUGCCGUAACUUCGGGAGAAGGCACGCUGACACGUAGGUGAAGUGGUUUACCCAUGGAGCUGAAGUCAGUCGAAGAUACCAGCUGGCUGCAACUGUUUAUUAAAAACACAGCACUGUGCAAACACGAAAGUGGACGUAUACGGUGUGACGCCUGCCCGGUGCCGGAAGGUUAAUUGAUGGGGUCAGCGCAAGCGAAGCUCCUGAUCGAAGCCCCGGUAAACGGCGGCCGUAACUAUAACGGUCCUAAGGUAGCGAAAUUCCUUGUCGGGUAAGUUCCGACCUGCACGAAUGGCGUAAUGAUGGCCAGGCUGUCUCCACCCGGGACUCAGUGAAAUUGAACUCGCUGUGAAGAUGCAGUGUACCCGCGGCAAGACGGAAAGACCCCGUGAACCUUUACUAUAGCUUGACACUGAACACUGGUCCUUGAUGUGCAGGAUAGGUGGGAGGCUUUGAAGUGUGGACGCCAGUCUGCAUGGAGCCGACCUUGAAAUACCACCCUUUAAUGGCUGGUGUUCUAACGUGGGCCCGUGAACCGGGUUGCGGACAGUGUCUGGUGGGUAGUUUGACUGGGGCGGUCUCCUCCUAAAGAGUAACGGAGGAGCACGAAGGUUGGCUAAUCCUGGUCGGACAUCAGGAGGUUAGUGCAAUGGCAUAAGCCAGCUUGACUGCGAGCGUGACGGCGCGAGCAGGUGCGAAAGCAGGUCAUAGUGAUCCGGUGGUUCUGAAUGGAAGGGCCAUCGCUCAACGGAUAAAAGGUACUCCGGGGAUAACAGGCUGAUACCGCCCAAGAGUUCAUAUCGACGGCGGUGUUUGGCACCUCGAUGUCGGCUCAUCACAUCCUGGGGCUGAAGUAGGUCCCAAGGGUAUGGCUGUUCGCCAUUUAAAGUGGUACGCGAGCUGGGUUUAGAACGUCGUGAGACAGUUCGGUCCCUAUCUGCCGUGGGCGCUGGAAGAUUGAGGGGGGCUGCUCCUAGUACGAGAGGACCGGAGUGGACGCAUCACUGGUGUUCGGGUUGUCAUGCCAAUGGCACUGCCCGGUAGCUACAUGCGGAAGAGAUAAGUGCUGAAAGCAUCUAAGCACGAAACUUGCCCCGAGAUGAAUCUUCCCUGAGCCUUUAAGGCUCCUGAAGGAACGUUGAAGACGACGACGUUGAUAGGCCGGGUGUGUAAGCGCAGCGAUGCGUUGAGCUAACCGGUACUAAUGAACCGUGAGGCUUAACCUUACAACGCCGAAG
rnacentral:rRNA from 1 species